rnacentral:lncRNA from 1 species
CCAAGUCAGGUGGCCAAGCACCCACGGGCUAUGCCGACGCUGCACAGCCUGUUCUGUUGGUGCCCAGGACAGGACGGUUGUGGGAGGCAGAGGUGGGUGAACCCUGUCCAGACCUGCUGUCCCUGGCAGUGUCCUGUGCACCUGGAGGUGCCUACCAGCCUGCCCUCACAGGGACCUGGAGAGGUGACCCACUCUUCGGGCAUCUUGAAAGGAGGUGUAGAUGAGCUCAAGUCACAUCCUUUCUCAAGGAGGCUCAAGAGAAGUUUCAUCCCAGGGUGUAGAAAUGGAAAAUUAAAAACAGACUCAGGCAAAGUUGUUAUUCUCAGAAAAUACUGGUUAAUUCAAACAGAAACCUUGUGUGGAGUUGUCCCUAUUUCAACAAGGUUUUGCCAGGAAGAGUUUCACAUUUCCAGGUUUAAGUGCCUAGCCAAGCCAAAGAGGUCACACAGGAGGAGCCUGGAACCUGUGAGCCAAGUUACUCAGCUGACACUGGUGGCACAGAGAAGGAGCCCUAUGGUGAAGUCAUCCUUCCGAAUCAAAGAGAGCAGGGGCUGGAAAACAGGAGGAGCAACAGGAGUUGUUCCAGAGGAGCAACUCUAA